rnacentral:lncRNA from 1 species
UCUUGUCUGGUAAAUGUUUAGAAUAAUGCCAUAAUUAAAUGUCUAGUUUUUAACUAUUACAUUUUAAUUACAACAUUUCUUUUAGUUGCAACGUUAUUCUAGCAUGGCAAUAAUUGUCUAUUUGACUUCCUUGUGUUUCACUAUAAAAAAGUCAUUUUUCAAAUAUAAGCCAUAAUAUAGUAAAAGUUGAUAACAUCACAAAAAAAUGAAUAAAACAUUAAAAGAGCCAUAUUGUUGGGCUAUUUGGAAUGAAAAUGAAGAUGAAGGUACCUCCGGUGUUAUUCCAUCCAAUUGGUUAGUUCCUGGAAGCCAUAUAUUUUGGCCACCUAAUAAUUAUUUUCAAGUCAAACAUGCAUUUCAUGAAAGAAGAGAUCCUGAUCAUUCAUGAAAAAAAUUUACACUAAAUAAGGUUAAGGUCAUUGGAACAUAUGAGUUCUGUAAUGAAAUGUGCAGUACAGAUGUUGGGUGGUUUUCUACAGAUGGUGAAAGUGUCUCACCAAUGAAAAAAAAAUUAAAUAAGAAAACAAAUGACAGUCAAAAUACUCUAUCAUUUUCUUCUCCACCAUCUAGAAUUCAAGGUAAUGUAAAUUUUUUAUCUGUUUAAUUUAUAUAAAUUAGAUAAUCAUUUAUAAUCAUUGGAGAGAAGGUAUAGUUAUUUGUUUAUAUUUAAUCCAGACACACUUGCUUGGGUUAGCUAGUUUUAAUUUUUCUAUUUAAAAAUAACUUUAAAAAAUUUAAAUGAAUUUGUACAAGUGGAAUCCAACGUCAACCUGUUUUAUUGAACCGGUGUUUUUUAUCACGAC